rnacentral:rRNA from 1 species
UCCGGAUUUAUUGGGCGUAAAGAGCGUGUAGGCGUCCAAGCAGGUCAGCUGUGAAAACUCGAGGCUCAACCUCGAGACGUCGGUUGAAACCGCUUGGCUAGAGUCCGGAAGAGGAGAGUGGAAUUCCCGGUGUAGCGGUGAAAUGCGCAGAUAUCGGGAAGAACACCCGUGGCGAAGGCGGCUCUCUGGGACGGUACUGACGCUGAGACGCGACAGCGUGGGGAUCAAACAGG